rnacentral:rRNA from 1 species
AUGACGCGCAACACCACCUGCCAGAGCACCUCGUGGAAGCCCGAUCCAGCGAGGAUCCUUCACCACCCUCCACUCUCCGGUGACCACCAGCCCGCGUGCGGAUGGUGUGCUAUCCUGCAGAUCGAGGAGGCGUCGAACUUCAGAUGGAGGAGGCCACAACCUGCAGCUGGCCGCGCCAUGGUUGCGCGUCGCCGGCAUCCUCCGUCACGCUCGGCACCUCCUGAGCGUUGGAGUGAAGGUCGACUCGGCAUUUUCUUCAGGGCAGUGGAGAGCACCCUCACCCUGAUCCCAUCUGCAGCAGCGCCCCGAGUCCUCCCAAAGCAGCCUUGA